UUACCAUGCAGUCGAACGGAAAGGCCCUUCGGGGUACUCGAGUGGCGAACGGGUGAGUAACACGUGGGUGAUCUGCCCUGCACUUUGGGAUAAGCCUGGGAAACUGGGUCUAAUACCGAAUAUGACUGCGCACUUCCUGGUGUGUGGUGGAAAGCUUUUGCGGUGUGGGAUGGGCCCGCGGCCUAUCAGCUUGUUGGUGGGGUAAUGGCCUACCAAGGCGACGACGGGUAGCCGGCCUGAGAGGGUGACCGGCCACACUGGGACUGAGAUACGGCCCAGACUCCUACGGGAGGCAGCAGUGGGGAAUAUUGCACAAUGGGCGCAAGCCUGAUGCAGCGACGCCGCGUGAGGGAUGACGGCCUUCGGGUUGUAAACCUCUUUCAAUAGGGACGAAGCGCAAGUGACGGUACCUAUAGAAGAAGGACCGGCCAACUACGUGCCAGCAGCCGCGGUAAUACGUAGGGUCCGAGCGUUGUCCGGAAUUACUGGGCGUAAAGAGCUCGUAGGUGGUUUGUCGCGUUGUUCGUGAAAACUCACAACUCAAUUGUGGGCGUGCGGGCGAUACGGGCAGACUAGAGUACUGCAGGGGAGACUGGAAUUCCUGGUGUAGCGGUGGAAUGCGCAGAUAUCAGGAGGAACACCGGUGGCGAAGGCGGGUCUCUGGGCAGUAACUGACGCUGAGGAGCGAAAGCGUGGGGAGCGAACAGGAUUAGAUACCCUGGUAGUCCACGCCGUAAACGGUGGGUACUAGGUGUGGGUUCCUUCCUUGGGAUCCGUGCCGUAGCUAACGCAUUAAGUACCCCGCCUGGGGAGUACGGCCGCAAGGCUAAAACUCAGAAG
rnacentral:rRNA from 2 species